CGAAAGAGGAAGAGAGAGAGAGAGGGAACGAGUGGAGGGAGUGACGAGGGAGUGAGAAAGAAGCUUGUUUUUAAAAGACUUGAUUCCGCAACCCGAGCAGGGCCCCUGGUGAUGGCGUGAUCGUGCUGACGUUACAUUGGGUCAGACAAAAACCAGUAAUCUACAGGCGAGGCAGAAGAAGCGACUCGAUCCUCAUGUCAGGGGGUGAAGCGAGGCAAAGAGGCAUAGAUAGUCAUCGUGGUUGGGAGGGAGAGUGUGGGUCCCGAGCCGCACCAACCACCACUUGGCAGCCGUUACAACCCGCGGGAUAGAACUCUGUGGGCAAAGGGAGAUAACACGUGGACUGGUUUCCUUUCUCGAAAUGGGGUCAGCGUGAGGAGAGAUGUUUCGGAGCGAAAGGAUGAGUCUGGUUCAUCCGAGGCCACGCCAGCGCGAUUCGAGGUCCUUCCCCGCGAUUCCUGCCAGUGGCGGAGCAGGGCGGGCGAGGUCGCCGUCUCCGAUGGGAAGAAGAUCCGGAGGAGCCUGCCGGAAGAUGGUGGUCUGGUGCUUGUUCGCUGGGCCCCUGGUGUCGGAGCCAGCGAGGCUUCUCUGGGAGAAGGUCGAUAUAAGUCAAGUACCACGUUCGCCCAAGGGGUCACAAAACUGUCGUCGCGGCAACGACCCUCGACCCAUCACCUCUGACACGAACUGCGGAUUGAGAUUGUGGGAGGGGUGUGGACGCUCUCGAGGUAGGAUUCCGAUGAGAAUGUUGAUACCUUUUGGGAGCUGAACUCGACUAAUAGUAGUCGCGACACGCGGCCAGUUAACUACCGUUGAGGAAUUUGAUGGGAGAUAACUCUUUUUACUGACCGCUUACACAUUUUAUGGUUUUUUAAUUGCUUUUUUUGUGGCUGCAGAUGCAGCAGCGACUAAGCCGUUAGGCUUUGAUGACAGACUAGGUGUUCAACACACAUACACAAAGAGAAAGAGGACGAUGAAAGAGUCAUUGAUGAAUCCGAUUCCCUCGGGCUGCUGAUGUGAGUUUGAUGACAGCGUAAUGUAGUCGCCGGAUAUCAUGCUAAUCUUCAAAUUCGCAUUUGUCUGUCAUGACUGACUCUAGAUUUGUGUGUGAUUCGUGUGUUAACAAGGAAGAAAGGAUAGUCGAUGUGACAUUGUCAAUUCAGAUUCUAUCUGAUUGACCAGUAUGGUGACUGGUACUAGUACAAACUGCUAGCUACUAAUAGAAACUGCUACUCCCAGUUGCUACUAAGAACAAACUUACAAGAAGACAAUGUUGCAGGGGCUCGUAUCAAUGAAUGCACCGAAAAUAUGGAUUGGAGUCCUGUGCGCGAGGUCUGGUAUACAGAGGCGAUGAGAAAAUGAGCAACAUUUCAUGCCCCGGCGUGGCUGGUGGUGAUGUUGAUACAGAUGGCAGAUAUGGCGGAUGCAUAUCACAGAUGGAUGACAUGUUGGAUGCAUAUCGCAGACGGUUGACAGGAUGAAUACGCAUCAGGAUUAGCAAAAAUAGAAAAAAAGGUCCAAUGCGCCAAGCAAUGAGAUCCCUGUUAACAAUCACAUCGCAAGCCCUUUUUUUUAAGAUUCGUCAACAACUGCUGCAGGCUUUGGGAAGUGGGGGAGCUCGGGUUUCAGUGUGAGAUUAAUGCUAUGCUGCUCCAAACACAAAGACACCUGAUGUCGGCACAAAAUAAAGUGUCUGAAACACCCGACGUGGUUUUCGUAUUUCUUCUGUUUUAAAUGGGACUGUCAGAAUAAAUACCUGAGCGAGGAGACUCGGGAUUUUGUCUUUCAACUUCGAGACAUUCGAGGAGAAUGGAUCUCUUUUCUAGAUGCCCAAUCGAUUUAAUCUUUACCUGGCACGGUUUUCACUUUUUUAAAUAUUUAUAUAUUCUAGGUAAGUCAGAAACUUUCGCAAGGUGGGUCUUCUAAGCUGUACUUGGAAACCCAAGAAACCUGUAGCUACCUCAUGAACCUGUAACCUUGCAGGUUAUUUUAUUCAAACCCUUCCCCAAUCCAUCCUUCCACUCCCACCCCCUCAAAAAAGUGGCCAGGAAAAGAGCAAAGUGUUAUGACCGGUAACUCAUGAAUGUCAGACGUGACACGCUGAUGGCGGCGCCGAUCGCGCGUCAGGAGGAAGCGCCCUCUGUAAAGCACAAGUCAGUCAGGGGCAGUAAUUACGGCGUCAGCGCAAUGAGCCGUCAAAUUGUCUGGGUGCACCAAGCCGUGACAAGUCUUACGUGGUUAUAAUUACCUGCAUAACGACGAUUUACCGCCAAGCCUCCCGCACCUGCACCUUCCCCCACUCUUGACAUUCCUGCGCCGACCUUUCGUUCCACACCCCGGGUGCCAGCAGUUAAAUAAGUAAUCAGGAUGAAAAGUUGGAAAUACUGCAAGCAGUACAAUUUGUUUUUCUCUCGUCAGAAGCUGCGUGAACGUGAAAAGAAAAAAAAAAUGGAAAGAAAAGAUGAAGAGAAAUCCAGACAAAG